AUUGAACGCUAGCGGGAUGCCUUACACAUGCAAGUCGAACGGAGUGGCGAACGGGUGAGUAAUGUAUAGGAAGGUGACAAGUAGCGGGGGAUAACUAAGCGAAAGCGAAGCUAAUACCGCAUACGAUUGGAGCGGCAGAUAUAGGAGUAGCUAGUUGGUGGGGUAACGGCCGACCAAGGCGAAGAUCCGUAGCUGGUGUGAGAUGACGACCAGCCACACUGGGACUUAGACACGGCCCAGACUCCUACGGGAGGCAGCAGUGUGGAAUUUUGGACAAUGGGGGAAACCCUGAUCCAGCCAUCCCGCGUGUUCGAUGAAGUCCUUCGGGUUGUAAAGCACUUUUGGCAGGAAAGCGGUACCUGCAGAAUAAGCACCGGCUAACUACGUGCCAGCCGCCGCGGUAAUAC
rnacentral:rRNA from 1 species